GAGUUUGAUCAUGGCUCAGAUUGAACGCUGGCGGCAGGCCUAACACAUGCAAGUCGAACGGUAACAGGAAACAGCUUGCUGUUUCGCUGACGAGUGGCGGACGGGUGAGUAAUGUCUGGGAAACUGCCUGAUGGAGGGGGAUAACUACUGGAAACGGUAGCUAAUACCGCAUAACGUCGCAAGACCAAAGAGGGGGACCUUCGGGCCUCUUGCCAUCAGAUGUGCCCAGAUGGGAUUAGCUAGUAGGUGGGGUAACGGCUCACCUAGGCGACGAUCCCUAGCUGGUCUGAGAGGAUGACCAGCCACACUGGAACUGAGACACGGUCCAGACUCCUACGGGAGGCAGCAGUGGGGAAUAUUGCACAAUGGGCGCAAGCCUGAUGCAGCCAUGCCGCGUGUAUGAAGAAGGCCUUCGGGUUGUAAAGUACUUUCAGCGGGGAGGAAGGGAGUAAAGUUAAUACCUUUGCUCAUUGACGUUACCCGCAGAAGAAGCACCGGCUAACUCCGUGCCAGCAGCCGCGGUAAUACGGAGGGUGCAAGCGUUAAUCGGAAUUACUGGGCGUAAAGCGCACGCAGGCGGUUUGUUAAGUCAGAUGUGAAAUCCCCGGGCUCAACCUGGGAACUGCAUCUGAUACUGGCAAGCUUGAGUCUCGUAGAGGGGGGUAGAAUUCCAGGUGUAGCGGUGAAAUGCGUAGAGAUCUGGAGGAAUACCGGUGGCGAAGGCGGCCCCCUGGACGAAGACUGACGCUCAGGUGCGAAAGCGUGGGGAGCAAACAGGAUUAGAUACCCUGGUAGUCCACGCCGUAAACGAUGUCGACUUGGAGGUUGUGCCCUUGAGGCGUGGCUUCCGGAGCUAACGCGUUAAGUCGACCGCCUGGGGAGUACGGCCGCAAGGUUAAAACUCAAAUGAAUUGCCGGGGGCCCGCACAAGCGGUGGAGCAUGUGGUUUAAUUCGAUGCAACGCGAAGAACCUUACCUGGUCUUGACAUCCACGGAGGUUUUCAGAGAUGAGAAUGUGCCUUCGGGAACCGUGAGACAGGUGCUGCAUGGCUGUCGUCAGCUCGUGUUGUGAAAUGUUGGGUUAAGUCCCGCAACGAGCGCAACCCUUAUCCUUUGUUGCCAGCGGUCCGGCCGGGAACUCAAAGGAGACUGCCAGUGAUAAACUGGAGGAAGGUGGGGAUGACAUCAAGUCAUCAUGGCCCUUACGACCAGGGCUACACACGUGCUACAAUGGCGCAUACAAAGAGAAGCGACCUCGCGAGAGCAAGCGGACCUCAUAAAGUGCGUCGUAGUCCGGAUUGGAGUCUGCAACUCGACUCCAUGAAGUCGGAAUCGCUAGUAAUCGUGGAUCAGAAUGCCACGGUGAAUACGUUCCCGGGCCUUGUACACACCGCCCGUCACACCAUGGGAGUGGGUUGCAAAAGAAGUAGGUAGCUUAACCUUCGGGAGGGCGCUUACCACUUUGUGAUUCAUGACUGGGGUGAAGUCGUAACAAGGUAACCGUAGGGGGCCUGCGGUUG
rnacentral:rRNA from 1 species